rnacentral:rRNA from 1 species
CACAGGCUGUGAACUCGAAGAGUAGGGCGGGACACGUGGUAUCCUGUCUGAAUAUGGGGGGACCAUCCUCCAAGGCUAAAUACUCCUGACUGACCGAUAGUGAACCAGUACCGUGAGGGAAAGGCGAAAAGAACCCCGGCGAGGGGAGUGAAAAAGAACCUGAAACCGUGUACGUACAAGCAGUGGGAGCACCUUCGGGUGUGACUGCGUACCUUUUGUAUAAUGGGUCAGCGACUUAUAUUCUGUAGCAAGGUUAACCGUAUAGGGGAGCCGAAGGGAAACCGAGUCUUAACUGGGCGUUAAGUUGCAGGGUAUAGACCCGAAACCCGGUGAUCUAGCCAUGGGCAGGUUGAAGGUUGGGUAACACUAACUGGAGGACCGAACCGACUAAUGUUGAAAAAUUAGCGGAUGACCUGUGGCUGGGGGUGAAAGGCCAAUCAAACCGGGAGAUAGCUGGUUCUCCCCGAAAGCUAUUUAGGUAGCGCCUCGUGAACUCAUCUUCGGGGGUAGAGCACUGUUUCGGCUAGGGGGCCAUCCCGGCUUACCAACCCGAUGCAAACUACGAAUACCGAAGAAUGUUAUCACGGGAGACACACGGCGGGUGCUAACGUCCGUCGUGAAGAGGGAAACAACCCAGACCGCCAGCUAAGGUCCCAAAGUCAUGGUUAAGUGGGAAACGAUGUGGGAAGGCCCAGACAGCCAGGAUGUUGGCUUAGAAGCAGCCAUCAUUUAAAGAAAGCGUAAUAGCUCACUGGUCGAGUCGGCCUGCGCGGAAGAUGUAACGGGGCUAAACCAUGCACCGAAGCUGCGGCAGCGAC